ACAAACUCACAAAUAUAAACAUACAUUCGUAUGAGAUAGUGAAAACAAACGUACCACCAACACAUACAUUCGUCACAGUGGGUUGUGAACACAACGUCCGUAUCGGCAAAUAUAAACAAAUGACUUACCACGCCAUGCAUUCUUCUAGGUGACGUGAACAAAACAUUCGUAUCAGGCAGUGAAACAAACGUACCACCACGACUUGUGUUCGUCUCGGUGAACAAAAUGCUUGUAUCAGAAACAAAAAAUUAGAAAAAAUGAACAAAGAACAUAAUGAAGAACAUAAAAAAUUCAGAACAAUCAAAUCCAAAAGAACUUGAAAAAAACGAAAAACAAGAGGUUAAAAGAGAGCUCACGUACCUUUUCAAAAUUUGUGUUUCUUCAUGCAAAGAUCCGUCAAAAUAAACCUUAAUCGAUCAUCCAUUCAAAAAAAUCGAGAAAAAAAACUCAGAUCAAACAAAAUCAUAAGAAUUCGAAAAACAAAAGCAAAAAUAGAGAUAACCCACAUUUUCGAAGUUUCUUUACACUCUUUUAGUGUUUUCUUGUGCAACGAUCUAUCUUGAUAAUGCUAAGAUCCAUCUUAAAGAGGAAAAAAACGA
rnacentral:lncRNA from 1 species